rnacentral:lncRNA from 1 species
AAGUCAAAUGAAAUAAGUUCAUAAGAUAGAUUUCAGCGGAUAAUCGAUAUCGUCGAAAGUGAGGAAUAGGGCAAGGCCGAGCCCACUACUCCUCCUGCUCCUCUCCUGCUGGAGCAGCAUCCCACUCGACCGUCCAACCCGGUGGCAGAGUGGUAAGCCAAGUCACACCAUCAACCAUGUCCUGAAGCGUACCUGCAAAAAUUAUGCUACAAGCAAGGCUGAGUAUACUAAUACUCAGCUAGACUUACCUGGUGUGAGGAAUCUACUCCUCUACCUCUAGACCAUGCAGCUGUUUGGCUGAGGGGUUUGGUUUGCCAAAAGCACUAGCUGAAUCUAAAAUCAAUUUUUAGCUUUUCCAAUUCUAGUAUCAGUAUUUUAGCUAAGUUUGCUCUUUCUAAGCAUACAUGGUAACAAUCAUUUAAUACGAUCAACAUGUUAUCUCAUGUAAAGCCUCAUUUCACUUCUUACUCAAUGUAGUACAAGGGGUCAAGCAGUCUCAUUAGCUGCGAGAAGCAGACGAUUCGAAUCGAGUUUUAUCCUUGCAAGGUAAACCUAAACACACGACAUGUGAGGGUACUCCGUCCCCACAGAUGUCAACUGUACCCAUCAAUUCCCCAUUCGCGGCCAGGACUCACCGCCUUGGCAUACAAUGCUCCACUGACCCCGGCUGCCGCCGUGCAGUGACCGCACUUGUACCCACCAUAGCUAGCAUGGGCGACCCAGUCUCAGGACGAGUGAGGGGUAAAGUCCACGUCCGGCUUCACUCAGGUACUAGGUUUACCGGUUACCAUAUUUCUCGACAUGUGUUUAGUACUUUCAAACGCUUGACUUAGGUAUCCACACGUUAAUCCUUAAUUCCAUUUCCGUUUCAUGGACAAGGCAUCCACCCUAGAUCCAAGUCCAUAGACCAUCAUAGAUCACGUUAUCAAGGUGAAUACAACCAAUUCCAAACCUCACACGAGUGCUAGAAAAAUCACUCGACUUCUACUGAGAUCCUAAUUAGCAAAGCACCUACUUGACCUAGCAUACUAGUAUCCAUCUCAACAAGGAAUCCUGAAUUCAUGCAACUAAGGGUUUCAAGCAACUCCUACACUUAAGUGCAUAUUACAAGCCUACAAACCUUAAGUGUAGUAAAGUAGCAUAUAUAAAUUGGUUAUGCAUAAAACCGAGGCUUGCCUUCAAUUGCUGGGGCUGCGGCGAGAUCCUCGAUGGCAGGCUCGGGAGCUGGCUCUUGAUCUUCCUCGUGGAUAGCUCUUUGCUCAGGGAUGAGCACGUACUCUCCGUCAGCGAGUUUGCAAUCUAAUGAAUGCAAGGGAUAAGAUAUAUGCAUGUUAUGAUAUGAAAUUUUAGCAAUUAAAAUUGUAUGGUGAAGGAUUAAUUAAAAGAAGAUAGAGCUACUUCUUGCUACUAGAGAUUUCUGGGGUAUACUUAGUAAAUUAUGGUCAAGUUUGAUUACUGAAUGGCUAGCCUAUUUUUAGUGUUCCACUAAUUUUCCUCUUCAUGUCUUAGUGAUAUUUUAGCAAGAUUCUUAGCUGCAUUUAUUGGGGUGAGACUUAUUAGUCUUUCCAAUGUAUCUUUUCCUCUCCUUUUUUUAUGCUUUUAAGGUGGGUUUGAACUACAAGCCAGUGUUAUAAAUUUCCAAAAAUUUUGUAAACAUUACAGUGGCUCCUCACUGGUGUAUAACUCUCUGUCUCAAAAUUUGGGGCUUAAAAAGUGAGGGGUUCUCUUUGUACAAAAUUAUCAAAUAUUAGGGCAGAGGGGGUGCUUUGAACUACAACCUUCAUUUGAUGGUAGGUUAUUUUAUAAGGCUCAUUUUUGCUGGCAUCUAGGUGUUAUAACAUGACUUUGUACCAAUUUUCAGCCACUAAUACUUAUUAGUUAUUUUACUAUGAUUUUCUAAAGCUUCUAGCCAAUGGGGUGCUUCCUACUACCACUAUACUUGAAGAAUGUCAAACAAUAGAUUUCUAAUUUUUCCUAUCUUCUUCUUUGCGCAAGAGCAAUCAUUCUAGAAUUUGGCAACUUUUUGCUUAAGGGGAAGGUGGUAGGAGUUUCUUGAAUCAAAUGGUCUUUUUCAUAAGGGAGGGGCAAUGGGUGUUAGUUUGUAGUUUUGAAUAGGUUUUGCAUUUUUCUCUGGUGGCCUACUUCAUUAAUAAUCUGGUAAAAUUUUAUUUGCCCAUUGUUGCAUAUUUGUUGGCUUGCUUAUGAUUUAAUUGGAUCAUGGCUAAAAAUCAUGUUUUAAUUGUUCAACCAACUUAUAAUGAUGGGCUGGGGUGUUUAUUAUUUUUGUAGGGAUGUUCUAGUAGUUAGGAGUCUAUUGAAUUUUUCAUGCCAUUUUUGCAAUGGUUCUUGUAAUUCUAAUCAUGCUUUUUCUUGAUUUCUUAGUGUCUAACAAAAGAAAUAACCUUGGAUUAGCUCUGGACUAGGGUUUUCUGUAUUUUUCCUAUGUUCUUUAUCACAUAGGUAUUCUAGGAAAAAUAUGUUCAUCCUCUGGUUAUUAUUUUCCAUUGCCUUUCUUAUUUUCCUAAGUUUUGGGCAGAUAUGGCUUUUUAAUAAAUAACCCUGUGUUAAUCCUUCAUACUAGGUCGCUUAAUAUUUUUAAACAGUGUCUAAGUUGGGUUUGGACUUCUACAAAUUUUCUUAAGUCCAGCACAGAAGCAUAACUAUUUUCUUCAUUUUAAUAAGGUUUGGGCAAUUUCCUUAAUUAAUUCCAAACUCUAAAAUUUAGUACAGAAAGCAUAGGGUUCAGUAUUUUUAUGUGAUAGCUCAUAAUAUUCUGAAUCCAAAAAAAUUGGUUUGACUAAAUUUGGUUAAAUAUUUCUCAAGAUAUAAAUUUCUUAAGUUCUCUGCCUAUUUUAAAAGAAUAAACAGAAAUAGAUAAAGGAAAAAGGGUUUUGCACUGGGUCACUGGCGAAAGUUUCUAAGUGUAUUACAGACAGGUCCUUGGUUUACUAUUCACAUGAGUCUAUGACUACUCAGAAAACCCCCUAGGUUUCUGCUAAAUCCAACCCGCGAUCCUUCCCCUAAUGGAACAGUACCCGCGGUGGAGGAAAAGGGCGGAGGGGUUACCGGCGGUGAGGUUCCUCUGGUGAAGGGUCGGGUGAGGUACGAGGGUCUCUAGCGAUCACGUCGAGGUGCGGAUCGUCGGCGGUGGUGGUCGGAGUAGGUCGGUCCACGCGCGCAGGCGGGGGAGCUCGGCGGCGGCGAGGGCUCCGGCCUAUCCAGGGCUGUAUAGUUAAAUUGAACGGGUCAGAGAGCUUCAACAGAGGUCAAGGAAGACAUAGGUGCGAGGAAUUGGAAAACGGCUCACCAGAUAGCUCGGUCCACGAGAGGUGGCGGGUGACCGAAGUCCGGCGAGGGCGAUUUUGCUUCUCCGGUGAGGCAGUGCCUCGACUCAAGCUUGGGAAAGCUUUACUGCUUCACGGGGAAGCUGUCCAGGGGCUAGGGCGAGGCUUGGAGUCGUCGGGAAGGGCUGGCCACGGUGGUCGUGCUCGGGCAGUGAUGGCGGGCGAUGGAGAGCUCGUUGGAGUUGGAGUUUUUGUUCGGGGCGUGAGGCGAAGUGAAGAGCAGACCGUUGUGCACCCGAGGUACUUAUAGGCACCCUCGAGCAUGGCUGGGCGCAGGCGCGGGGGACAGAAGUCGAUCGUGCGCGGCGCGCGCGUAGAGGGCGGCCAGUGCGCGGCCGAGCGCUUGAGCACGCGAUCGAACACGUGUGAAGCGCCCCAAUCCUUUGGGACUCAAAUGUGAUACAAUUACUAGUCCCAAGAGGCUAGUAAACACAUUUAUACAACAGAUUAUUCUAGAUCUGCUUUAAACGAGACAAACCUAUAAAGGUGGCAAAAGAGUUGGUCCACAAUUCGGGACAUAUCAUCAGAGUGGGGCUGAAGCAGCCCGAUAUACGCAGCGAAGAAAUUCAGCGGUCCAACAGCCACAGGCAAGGUUGGGAACAGUCGUAACUAAUACCCGAUCUCCUUUUUCUGAAAAACAACAAAUAAGCAAGGGUGAGUACAAACGUACUUAGCAGCCCACCUUCACCCGCGGAAUGGGGAAAUCAGAUAUAAUGCAUGGAAUAUCUGGAGCUCAGGAUAUUUUGCAGAAACAACAAUAUUUUAUGCAGGGUUUUUUGUAAAACAUUUUGUAUUUUGCAAAGCGCAUCCUCUCCCAAAGGAGCAAGAAGUUUUUCAAUAUAGAGCAAAAUCCCCUGGACUAAACCAUCCAGGUAUCUCAGCAGUUUCCCACUGGUUUUUAUUUUCAAAAACAGCUACUGGACUUCCCGUCCACCAUAGCUCACGGCUCAACCGCUGGACCAUUUAAAAACCAUUUUUCUCAAACGCACCCUUUUUUGAAAACAAAACAUUAAUUGCCAUACCAUACCAGACUCGUCCAUUCCUGUGGACACGGACUAUUCGAAUAGGUUUUCAAACUCUGCUCAGAGGUGUACACUUUACCCACUAGUCCAGUUUCUGCGAUCUCACCGUCAUGAGACCCGAAUGCCGAAUCUCUUUCUUUCCUCGCACGUCCUAACCGUAACGGUUAUACCGGAAGGAGUCAGGCCACCGCCAUGUCCAAACCGGACAAAACAUUCCCCCUCCUUAUCCUCCCGGUGCUCCCGAGCCUUCAUAGCCCUAGGGUUGGACCGUAAGAGUUGAGAUUGAGUGACUGCCCACACAGUCUCGAGUGGUUGUACUUAUCAUGAGUACAGGUAGUGAAAGAUGACAAACCGGUCCUUAUGUGAGGGAACAAUCCUUCUGCUCACACCUAAACCAGCUGAGCCAUCACCUUAGGCCCUCCCCUAAACCAGGGAGUCCCUGAUCAUCCCUACUCAAAGGUGAUAAGGGUGAAAACCCUUCAUCAUACACAUUUUGAAAAGUAUCUUCUUUUGAAAACUCACACCUUUCCUCAAAUCAUUUGUAACAAAUAUAUCAGGGAUUGAUUGCGGCAAGCGGCUGGGUGGCCAUAAUAACUUGUCUCAAAAUCAUAUCAUGCAUAAAAUAACAGGUUGAGGGUUGUGGUUGAAAAACAUAGGUAAUUUAUGCAUCAAAGGGAUCUAGUGAGCUUGUCAUGCUUAUCCGGCGAAGGGGGAAGAGGGGCUCGUGGAACUGGCUUCUAGCUCCACUGCCUGGCGUAGACUUGCAGAUCUAGCCUCCACGAGACGGCACGAACACUCCGAUAACUAUGCAACAUGAACAAACAAACAUACAAACCAACAAGUAUACCAACAAAUAUUUAGUAUAGUGGUCAGAAUAGCGAUAUAUGGAUGGGUAGAGUCGUGAGUAGAAUCUAUGUCAUGUGGUGUUGAGAUACUGCUGGUGGUGGAGCGAAGGUGCUUACCAGGAGGGUGGACUGAAGACAAAGCGACACUAUGCGUGUAGCCGGCACAUCGGAGUAACUGAGUGGGUGGGGUGUUUGCCUUGGCUAAGGGUGUUGAGUGUGUGGAGUGGGAGAGGGUAGCUGGGUGUAUUUAUAGCUGGGUGUAUGUGGUGUAGCACAGUGAAGUUCACUGUUGGUGAGAAUAGUGACGAAUGAAUCUUCUGACUUAAUAUAAACAGGAGAGGCAGAAUAUGGGACAAGAGUAUUUUGGGAGUUUUCUGGAAUAUGAACCAUGCUUAAGGGAUGACAUGGUCGGAUAGGGAAUAGUUUGACAAGAAUUUUAGAAACAAGAAUGACUGAAAUCUGAGUUUGGAUGGAGGAGUUUUGGAUUUUAUAAUCAUAGGGAGAAAAAGAAAAGAAAAGGAAUAUUCUUGGAAUAUUCUAGAAUUUGAAUAUUCAGAGAUAUUUGGAAAAUCAAAAAAUGUAUUUUUGAGCGGGGUGCGAGGAAUUAUUUUUGGGCUUUUCUUGGGCAGAGGUUUAUGUUGGUGGAAACUGUUCCUACCUACUGUGUCACAUCAGACAACAGUGAGGCGGGAACCAAAUAGCUAGAAUGCUAUGAUAUUCUGGUCCGAGUGGGCUGUGGUAUCUUGGGCCAGGUUUUAUAGGAUUGAAGACGUAUCCAUACAAACAUGGUUUGCCUUUCUUUUUGGAAGUCUAGCUUGAAAGAAUCUCAAAGUUAAGUGUGCUCAACUAGGAGAAAUCUAGGAUGGGUGACUAGAUGGGAAGUUCCCUACUGGAAUGAAAAUCACAGUCACCGGAGUUCGUAUGACUGGAAUAUGGGUCUGGCUGGUCUUAGGUCGACUGGACAGCAUGAUGGAUGAGUAGUUGAAAUUUGGGGUGAUCGGAUGAUCGAUGAAUAGCAACGAUGAAUAGUAACGGUGAAUAGUGAUGGUGAAUAGUUCAUAUGAACGAACGAUGAACGGUGAAUAGUGACGAUGAACGAACGAUGAACGAUGAAUAGGAACUAUUAACGAACGAUGAACGAUCGAAUGAUCGAACGAACGAACGAACGAUCGGAAUUUCGGCAGCAUAACGGCAGGAAAAAGAUUAUUUGGACGAACGAACGGACGAACGAUCGAACGAUCGGACGAACGGACGAACGAACCAUGAACGAUCGGACGAACGAUCGAACGAACGAACGAACAAACUAAGAACAGGGGGACGAACGAUCGAAGAACGACCGAACGAUCCUUGUGCUAGUGUGUGCUUAUGUGGGAGGUGGAGUGGGAGUGGGCGUGUGGGUGUGGGGGUGUGGAGGGAGGGAGUUGCCAUGAAAUGGCUUGGGGUGGGAUGAGAGGAGGCCCUUGCCCCUCUAUUUAUAGCCAUGGUGGGGGGAUUAGGGGGAGGGAUGAGAGGAUUAGUGGGAGGAUGAAAGGAUUAGUGGGAGAUUAGCAUGGAUUUGUCUUAUAUGAGUGUAAUUAGCUUGUAGAGCUCACCGUAUGACACCAGAGGCAUACGUAUACGUAUGAGCAUGAGGAAAGUUAUGAAGAAAAUAUUUGUGGGGACUUGAAAAAUGAUUCUGAAGGUAUUUCUCAAGAGGAAAAUAUCUGGAGAUAUAUCGGUGGAAUAUUUGGGCAGUAUUUCUGGAAAGAACUUGAGGGGGAUCACUGGGGAAAUAUUUGUAGGAUAUUUUGAGGAGAAUUUUAGAGAGAAUAUAGACCACUAUAUUUUACUUGUUGAUAUCAACUUGCAAACAAACAUUUUGAAACAGAAUUUGAAAUUCAUUUUGAAUUUAGAGCGAGUUUGAGAAAAUUUCAAGAUUUGAAUUUUUGGGAUGCUACAAAUCUACCCCACUUAAAAGGAAUCUCGUCCUCGAGAUUCAGCUUAGAAGGGUUAUGGGUAUAGCUUUACUUCAGCUAUGUAUCUUCACUUUGCAGACUCUUCGAGGAGAUGGAGCUUCAAUAAAAUCUGGCCUUUGAGUAGCAUCUGGCUGCCGAUUGCAAAUGUUGAUUCUGGCUACUCAAAGAUCAUCUUCAGGCUUCAGCUUUCGCUUGGCAGCUAGCUUAUUGAGGAAGCAUCGAUGCUAACACAGAAACCUUUCUCUUGCGAACUCCCACAUGGAUUCCUUACUUGAUUGGUCUUCUGGUGCUUCAUCAACAAAACUUGGGUGACCACUUCUCAUCCAGAAACUUAUAUGCUUUGAUGAUCUGGUCCUCCACAAGAUUGCUACAAGCCUUCUUCUUUUUUUCCACAGCAGGAACCUUACUGGAACACUACCCCACUUAAAAAGAAUGAGGUAGAACUCUUAAAUCUUGGGGAUUUGAACUCCUUGAAGUACCACAUAACAAGGGUGUUACGGGGCCUUCUUCUGCUGUUGCUGCUUGACCAGGCUGCGGAGAGAUGACUGACAUAUGAUUGAUUCAAGGACAACCUUCUUCUCAUCUUAUCUUCACUAUCUUCUUUUCACUGACCCUUUCUUUCUCUUUGCUCUUCCCACUGGAGGAUUCUAUGAAAGAGUAUUACCAUCAUAUAGAGGAGGAAACCGAAGACUAUGAACCAUGUACAACAGUCUUCAACCCAAGAAUCACCAAGCAUUGUGAUCUUAGGGUCAAGGGAGUGGAAAAAUGGAGUUGCUUGCAAUUUGGCAGAGGAGAUUUUAUCAGGCGUGCUGCUUUGCUUGGGAUGGGAGUUGAGGGAGCUGGUGGGGGAGUUUUAUAGGCGAGCGUUGGUGUUCGGUUGCGGAGUAGUGGUGAUGGAGUAGGUGCUACGUGGCAACAGGUGCGACGGAGGGGAAGGGGGGCUUGGUGCCGGCGAUGAUGGCGGCGGUGGGUGCGCUGCAAAGGGGGCGUGGGCGGCGGUAGUGCGCUGCAAAGGGGGCGGCACGCGUGAGGGGGGCACGGGUGAAUGGUGGGGUCAAUGACCCUGAUGUUUGUGGUCUCUGGUUCCAAGAAUCUUUGCCUCUAUGUAUGGUAAUAACUCCUUCUGUCUUGUUUUCCUAUUUACUUUGACUCAGGGGCAGUGCUUUGAUUCUCACGGUCGGUCCUUUUGACUGAGCGACUGGAUAGGUUCCUCUGUAGCUUAUUCCAUGCUUCAAGGGUAAGCUUCCCGAUAUCUUUUUGGGCAAGGUGCUUUUCUCUUGAGAUGGGUUAAGAUGAGAAUGGAAGCAUAAGGUGAGGAUUAGCUCUAAUUUGUGAUCUAUGUUUUUAGAGAAAACCUUUCUUAAAAAAAGAAAACACACAAGCUCAGCAAUGAUAAGCACAAACAAAUCACAUGUUUUGAAUAAGGGAAGGAUAGAGUUUUUCCAAAGCACAGACUACUCAGAUUUGGGGGCUAAGCAUAACUACUAUUGCUUGGCUCCUGAAUUUAGAACUAUGCUAAAUGCAACUUAUGAGCACUAACGUUAAAGCAUCACAUAUAUACUCAAAAGGGGAGAAAACAUCAAGCGAAAUUCAUUUUGAAAUGCCCUAGGGGGCCACACAAUUAGAGUUUUGCACAACACGAGUCUACACGAUUACCUCUCAUACAUGUAGGGCUCUAGCCAAAGUGAAGAAAAAACUUCACUACCCAAUCCAUGCAGAGGACUGGGCAUAACUAACUCAGAUCUGGCAGCUUCUCUUCUGGCAAGGCUGGCACACAACUUCAAUCUGAGACAUCUCCUGGAUGGGUCAAGAGGGAGCUGAUGUUGAUGACUUCUUCUGGCGGUGAUUGAGAUGGCAAGACGGGGUUGAACUCUUCUUCCAGCGGGAUUGGCUCUUGUAGCUCCUCAGAGGGCGGCGGUGCUGGCGGGGUGCUUGCAGCUUCUUCCUUGACUUCAAGGGACGGUGCUGGAAUCUUCUUCAUGGUAAGGAGCUCAAACAACUCUGGCGGAGGAUGUUGGGAGGAUUCAGGGUGCUCUUGCUUAUCCAUAGCCUGAGGGAAGACUGGAAUUCCUUCCAAAACUAUGGCUCCUUCCGGAAGUUCCCAAGCCUUCUUCUCUCCUCUGAUAGAGACCGGGUGACCUUCAAGAAUCUGGGGGUCUUGAGCUCUGAUGGGUUGAACAGGGUUGGAUGAAGCGGGCUCUUGGAUCCGUAGGGCUCUACGUUGGUUAUGGGUUACCAAGUAGGCCUCCAUCAACUUCUGGACGUGCUCAUCCUUGGCUUGCUUCAGGGCUUCAACAGCAAUGACUUCACGACUUUCCAAGGCAGCUACACGGGCUUGAGCUGAGAUGAGAUCCACAUGGAGCUUACGGUUGAGCUUCUCUGCAUCUUCUGCUCAAGCAAUCAUCUGACAGUGGUGCCAAGCCAAGAAAUCAUACCAUGCAUCCAGGGUGAGCAGGUAUGCAGUGAGGUACGCGACUGUGGGGUCGUCCUCAAGCAGUUGCUGACCUUCCAAUGCACGCGUCCUGGCCAUCCAAACGGGACGGUCUCUCUGAAAGGGUGGAAAGAAUCUGAGCGGUGUGUCGGCCACUUCUUCAUAAAUCUGACACAGGACCCUUAAUGCCUUACGAGCGACGACUUGGUAGGUGUCUUUGAAUCUGUGCCCAGCAGCAGUGACACUCCAUUCCAUAUGGUGCGGACUGGAUCCAAUGUAUACAGUCACGACACACUUCUCUGUGCCAUUCUCAACGAAUUCACGACCAUCAUACUCUGGCUGGCUCCUGAUUCCAAGGCGAACUGUGCAUGCUCUCAGCAACUUGGGGAAACCAUCUUCAUUCUGGCAAAAGCUGGUUUGGCAACGGACCUCCAUCUGACUUCUAAGAGAAGGAAAGAGGGAAAACAUUUUUGAAAUGGAGGAAUGAGAGCAAGAUUUUUUUAAGAAAAUAGUUUUGACUCAAAAACUUUUGGAUCAGGCUAAGGGUUACGUCCUGCGGCCAACCUAACAGCUCUGAUACCACCUGAAGCGCCCCAAUCCUUUGGGACUCAAAUGUGAUACAAUUACUAGUCUCAGGAGGCUAGUAAACACAUUUAUACAACAGAUGAUUCCAGAUCUGCUUUAAACGAGACAAACCUAUAAAGGUGGCGAAAGAGUUGGUCCACAAUUUGGGACAUAUCAUCAGAGUGGGGCUCAAGCAGCCCGAUAUACGCAGCGAAGCAAUUCAGCGGUCCAACAGCCACAGGCAAGGUUGGGAACAGUCGUAACUCUUACCCGAUCUCCUUUUUCUGAAAAACAACAAAUAAGCAAGGGUGAGUACAAACGUACUUAGCAGCCCACCUUCACCCGCGGAAUGGGGAAAUCAGAUAUAAUGCAUGGAAUAUCUAGAGCUCAGGAUAUUUUGCAGAAACAACAAUAUUUUAUGCAGGGUUGUUUUGUAAAACAUUUUGUAUUUUGCAAAGCGCAUCCUCUCCCAAAGGAGCAGGAAGUUUUUCAAUAUAGAGCAAAAUCCCCUGGACUAAACCAUCCAGGUAUCUCAGCAGUUUCUCACUGGUUUUCAUUUUCAAAAACAGCUACUGGACUUCCCGUCCACCAUAGCUCACGGCUCAACCGCUGGACCUUUUAAAAACUAUUUUUCUCAAACACACCCUUUUUUGAAAACAAAACAUUAAUUGCCAUACCAUACCAGACUCGUCCAUUCCUGUGGACACGGACUAUUCGAAUAGGUUUUCAAACUCUGCGCAGAGGUGUACACUUUACCCACUAGUCCAGUUUCUGCGAUCUCACCGUCGUGAGACCCGAAUGCCGAAUCUCUUUCUUUCCUCGCAUGUCCUAACCUUAACGGUUAUACCGGAAGGAGUCAGGCCACCGCCAUGUCCAAACCGGACAAAACAUUCCCCCUCCUUAUCCUCCCGGUGCUCCCCAGCCUUCAUAACCCUGGGGUUGGACCGUACGAGUUCAGAUUGAGUGACUGCCCACACAGUCUCGAGUGGUUGUACUUAUCAUGAGUACAGGUAGUGAAGGAUGACAAACCGGUCCUUAUGUGAGGGGACAAUCCUUCUGCUCACACCUAAACCAGUUGAGCCAUCACCUUAGGCCCUCCCCUAAACCAGGGAGUCCCUGAUCAUCCCUACUCAAAGGUGAUAAGGGUGAAAACCCUUCAUCAUACACAUUUUGAAAAGUAUCUUCUUUUGAAAACUCACACCUUUCCUCAAAUCAUUUGUAACAAAUAUAUCAGGGAUUGAUUGCGGCAAGCAGAUGGGUGGCCAUAAUAACUUGUCUCAAAAUCAUAUCAUGCAUAAAAUAACAGGCUGAGGGUUGUGGUUGAAAAACAUAGGUGAUUUAUGCAUCAAAGGGAUCCAGUGAGCUUGCCGUGCUUAUCCGGCGAAGGGGGAAGAGGAGCUCGCGGAACUGGCUUCUAGCUUCACUGCCUGGCGUAGACAUGCAGAUCUAGCCUCCACGAGACGGCACGAACGCUCCAAUAACUAUGCAACAUGAACAAACAAACAUACAAACCAACAAGUAUACCAACAAAUAUUUAGUAUAGUGGUCAGAAUAGCGAUAUAUGGAUGGGUAGAGUCGUGAGUAGAAUCUAUGUCAUGUGGUGUUGAGAUACUGCUGGUGGUGGAGCGAAGGUGCUUACCAGGAGGGUGGACUGAAGACAAAGCGACACUAUGCGUGUAGCCGGCAGAGCGGAGUAACUGAGUGGGUGGGGUGUUUGCCUUGGCUGAGGGUGUUGAGUGUGUGGAGUGGGAGAGGGUAGCUGGGUGUAUUUAUAGUUGGGUGUAUGUGGUGUAGCACAGUGAAGUUCAUUGUUGGUGAGAAUAGUGACGAAUGAAUCGUCUGACUUAAUAUAAACAUGAGAGGCAGAAUAUGGGACAAGAGUAUUUUGGGAGUUUUCUGGAAUAUGAACCAUGCUUAAGGGAUGACAUGGUCGGAUAGGGAAUAGUUUGACAAGAAUUUUAGAAACAAGAAUGACUGAAAUCUGAGUUUGGAUGGAGGAGUUUUGGAUUUUAUAAUCAUAGGGAGAAAAAGAAAAGAAAAGGAAUAUUCUUGGAAUAUUCUAGAAUUUGAAUAUUCAGAGAUAUUUGGAAAAUCAAAAAAUGUCUUUUUGAGCGGGGUGCGAGGAAUUAUUUUUGGGCUUUUCUUGGGCAGAGGUUUAUGUUGGUGGAAACUGUUCCUACCUACUGUGUUCCAUCAGAAACAGUGAGGCGGGACCCAAAUAGCUGGAAUGAUGUGAUAUUCUGGUCCGAGUGGGCUGUGGUAUCUUGGGCCAGGUUUUAUAGGAUUGAAGACGUAUCCAUACAAACAUGAUUUUCCUUUCUUUUUGGAUGUCUAGCUUGAAAGAAUCCCAAAGUUAAGUGUGCUCAACUUGGAGAAAUCUAGGAUGAGUGACCAGAUGGGAAGUUCCCUACUGGAAUGAAAAUCACAGUCACCGGAGUUCGUAUGACUGGAAUAUGGGUCUGGCUGGUCUUAGGUGGACUGGACAGCAUGAUGGAUGAGUAGUUGAAAUUUGGGGUGAUCGGAUGAUCGAUGAAUAGCAACGAUGAAUAGUAAUGGUGAAUAGUAAAGGUGAAUAGUGAUGGUGAAUAGUUCAUAUGAACGAACGAUGAACGUUGAAUAGUGAUGAUGAACGAACGAUGAACCAUGAAUAGGAACUAUGAACGAACGAUGAACGAUCGAAUGAUCGAACAAACGAAUGAUCGGAAUUUCGGCAGCAUAACAGCAAGAAAAAUAUUAUUUGGACGAACGAACGGACGAACGAUCGAACGAUCGGACGAACGGACGAACGAACCAUGAACGAUCGAACGAACGAUCGAACGAACGAACAAACUAAGAACAGGGGGACGAACGAUCGAAGAACGACAGAACGAUCCUUGUGCUAGUGUGUGCUUGUGUGGGAGGUGGAGUGGGAGUGGGCGUGUGGGUGUGGGGGUGUGGAGGGAGGGAGUUGCCAUGAAAUGGCUUGGGGUGGGAUGAGAGGAGGCCCUUGCCCAUCUAUUUAUAGCCAUGGUGGGGGAUUAGGGGGAGGGAUGAGAGGAUUAGUGGGAGGAUGAAAGGAUUAGUGGGAGAUUAGCAUGGAUUUGUCUUAUAUGAGUGUAAUUAGCUUGUAGAGCUCACCGUAUGACACCGGAGGCGUACGUAUACGUAUGAGCAUGAGGAAAGUUAUGAAGAAAAUAUUUGUGGGGACUUGAAAAAUGAUUCUGAAGGUAUUUCUCAAGAGGAAAAUAUCUGGAGAUAUAUCGGUGGAAUAUUUGGGCAGUAUUUCUGGAAAGAACUUGAGGGGGAUCACUCGGAAAUAUUUGUAGGAUAUUUUGAGGAGGAUUUUAGAGAGAAUAUAGACCACUAUAUUUUACUUGUUUAUAUCAACUUGCAAACAAACAUUUUGAAACAAAAUUUGAAAUUCAUUUUGAAUUUAGAGCGAGUUUGAGAAAAUUUCAAGAUUUGAAUUUUUGGGAUGCUACAACGUGGAAGUGUGAUUCUACACGAGUUCAAACGCCUGUUGGCCGACCUAAACGUGCAUAUCUUGCCAAGGAUCCUGUGUAGCGUCUCUUCACCGUGCCAAGGUCUUCCUGUCGUGUGUGAGUCCCGAGUGAAAAUAUGGCCUGGGUGAGAAGAUAUUAUGGCGUGAUGAUAGAUCUGUCAGCACUAUCCAAAUCGAGACAAAACCUAUGUGAAAUCGUGACAAACGAUUUUGGUUUGAUUUCAAACUUCUCUAGAGUGUUCCAAGGGUAUUUUGGCGCCACAUGAUAUUUGGACUUUAUGGAUUCGAGCUUGGGAAGACAGGGAACACAUAUGAACUUUGGGAAAGGGUUUGAAUUUCAUAUUUCUGAAUUUCUGAAUUUUCCAUAGGGCAUUAGUUCAUGGGCUGAUUUGGGGAUUUUGGAAAAUUCAAAUGGCCAAACUUCCUUACUAUAUUUUGUAGGUUAUUUAGUGCACUAAAACUUUGUCAAUUGGUUCAUCCCAAAAUUUUGUAUUUUUCACAAUCUUUUUACAAGUUUUCCCUUUUGCACUUAAAUGGCUUACUUAGGAUUAUUUAGGGUUUGUGAAUUCUUCUUACCUUGAGGUGCAUGGCAUGAUUAAGGCAAAUUUCUUAAGAUGAAAAAGACUUACUUAAACCUUUGUUCUUAAUUUUUUAUGUCCUUUCCUCAAUUUGGUUCACAUGUGAUAAUGGUUUUGAGUUAGCUCUAAGAAGAAACCCUAGGUGACACUGGGGUGUCACAAAUUGCCUAUGAAGGAACUUAGUGUGCAAGGUGAUCUGGCUUACACUAAGUAUCCUAUCAAGAUCAUUGAUACCUGGACUCGAGUUACGAGGAAUAAAGUGAUUAAGAUGUGGAAAGUACAAUGGAGUCAUCACGGAGAAGAUAAAGCCAUCUGGAGCAGGAGGAUGAACUACGAGUAGAAUUUCCCCAUCUUUUCCCUAGUUCAUCGUAAUCUCGAGGUCGAGAUUAUUUUUAAGGGGGGUAGAAUUUGUAAUCACAUGUAAAGUAAAUACAAAUAAAUCCUGCUUAUCAUGCUGAUGUUUUUGUUGUAUGAGGUCCAUCUAAAUGGGAACCUGAAUAUCCAAACACUACAUGGAUUCAAAACUCAAAAAGGAAGAAAUGGGAAAUUAAAAUCUAGAAAGAAAAUGUUAAUAAACUCAAUUACCCCUUCAUAAUUAAAUAAUAGGAAGAAAAAUAAAUAAUACUAUUGCAAACAGUACAAGUUAAAUUCACAUUUGGAUUAUGUUCGAUAUCUGAAAAUAUGAAGUUCAAAACAAGAUUUAAAUUUAGUUUGAAUACUUGAAUUUAGAAAUAGAAAAAAAUGGAAAAGAAAACAAAAAAGGAAACCAAAUGUAUUGGGCCGCAGAACUGGAGUUCGUCCCAUCCCCCGCUUCCUCUCGUGCGCGUGCCGGUCCACUCCACAGCCGUGUUGCCACUGUGCCGACACGUGGGGCCAUCCGGUCAAUUGCACCUGUGUCACCUACGUGUGGGGCCACCGUGUCAGGUGCAGAUCUCACUCGCAGAUCGGGCUGGCCAGCGGCCAAUAACCAUGGCCACCUUUAGUGCCGCCCUAGGCGCUGGAUAUCCCCCAUAAAUUGCCCUGCUCUGGCGCCCUAGACAGUUGACUAGCCAAGAAAGAGAGAGCCAGAAGAUCAGAGAGGGAGCCCGCCAUCUCCGUGCAUUUGGUCCACCACCGCGGAUCCCCAUCGACAGCGAGGUUUGGGCUCCAGCGUGGCCACCCGAGGGUUGAUCUGACCACGUAGAAGCUGUGUGAGGGAGUAACCGGUGGGAAGCUAGCUGAAGCUAUAGGAAUUCCUCGCCGGAGUUGAGGAACCCGCUGAACUCACGCUCCAUCGUGGCUAGUGACAACCGUGCUGCGAUUCAUGUUGAAUCUACUCCUGCUGCAUUCGCCAUCACCUAGGGAUCGUGUAGAUACUCUAGAACUCGCCCUAGGGCUCUGCGUAUCUAUCCGGGGGUACUCGUCUGAGUGCUCCGUCGCGUGCGGGAUACCACCACCGCGUUCGGCCAACGUGAGGGACGAGAAGGCCCUCGAAUUCACCGUACCCCUUCGAGCGUGGCUGGUUUGGUAAAGAGCCCAUGUACUUUAUUAUUAUAAACCCAUCGUCCUCCCUUACAUGAAAAUAAUUACAAAAAGGCCCUGGAAUUGAUGAAAUCAACCCCGAACCCUCUGGUAUUUGUGUACAUGGUCCAAUAAGACACCAGAAUUAGUAAAAUAAAUCAGAAAAGUUUUUUAUAUAGAAAACAAAUCCUAAAAUUUAAUAAAAUCAUAACUUUUUUUCUAACUCCUUUUGAUCCAUUACAGUUGCAUUAAACUCAUAAUAAUAUUGUUUAUCAUUCAAUAACCUUAUUUAGUAUGAAACAUAUUGUUAAUGCAAUUAAUUUGUUUUAUGUGUGACACCAAAACCCUCAGAAAAUCAUAACUCUUUAACCGUAACUCCGAUUUGAGUAAUUCUCGAACCUAUGAUCUUGUAGCAACGUGUAGAACAUUAUUAUACAGUUUGCUAUUAUGUUUGGUGUCAUGUUAAUUUCUCCUAUACCAUGUUUGUUUGUAUUAUUGCGAGUAAACGAGCAAGUGACCGAGGACCCCGGUACUCAGCAGGAGAAAAACUCUAACCAGGAGCUCAUUGAAGGCAAGUUGUGCCCUUGAUCACUUCUCUUUAUCCAAUAAUGAUCUUAUUAAUCAUUAUGAUCUGCAUAGGUUAAUUUUGAUGGGAACCAAUAGGUCACCCUAGUUUGGCCACCUUUAUACCUUGUUUACCACUAAACUUUUGGGUAGUAUAUGCUAUUGCUUUAUGUGGUUUUGGGUGUUAAGAUUCACAUUAUUCAUGAUCAUGCUAGUUAUUGUCAAUGACUUAUUUACUAUUCAUGAUAAGAUCAUUAUGUUAAUUGCAACAUGGAGCGACCACCCGGGGAAACAGUGCUACCACAAGGGUAGUAUGGGACGCCCUUGGCUGACUAAUUAGGAAAGCUAGUGGAGGACUACCUUACCUGAAAGGAGCAAGGGCGGUUGGGGAGUUGUUGGUUUAGGGAGGUUCUCAGGUUGAUCAUGUUGCGAUGGUUUUUCAUAUUUGGGAUUCCUAUAUCACUCUCCUCAGAAACCGUAGCGGAUUUUCUGAAGCUAGUGGAACUUUGUAAAGGCAUCAUAGUGCUACCCCGCCUCGCCUCCUCGGUAGAGGUGUAUGGGGUCCGUACAACCCCAUGGCAGAUGGGUAACACGACUUGUGGGUAAAGAUGUGCAACCUCUGCAGAGUGUAAAUCUGGUAUAUAAGUCGUGCUCACGGUCAUGAGCGGCUCAGACCCUCACAUGAGUUACUUAUGGAAUUAAACUUAAUUGGUUAUUAGCAUCACAUUGUGGUUUAUUUAUUAAUUAUGAUCUCUCGUUUAUUUGGGUUGGUAUUUACUUAUACUUAGUAACUGCUAAUAAAAUUUGACCAACUUAUUAAAAGCAAUGCUUUGUCUUAACCAUUAUUUGUUGAUCAACCUGACACUAUACAUGAACCCCCACUGUAUGUGAGCUCAUGCACAUUAUUCCCCACACUUGUUGAGCGAUGAACUUUUGUCCCCCCCCACUGGUGAAGAGCAGGUGGCCCUAGAGGAAGAUUACUACGAGCAGUUCGACGAGGUCUAGUAGUCGUCUCCCAGUCGACUUAAUGGCGUCAAGAAAAUAAUAUUAGUUCUCUUUAUUUAUUAUAAUAUUUUUUAAGACAUUCUCGUUAUAUAAUAAUGUUUGUGACAUUUCUCUCCAUACACUUGGUCAUUGUAUGUGUUGUUCUUCUUUGGCGCACAUAUGAGACGCACCCGAGUUUACCCCUUAAAUUCGGGUGUUACAUGUAAUGUAGUCCUCCACUAGCUUUCCAAAUUAGUCAGCCAAGGGCGUCCCAUUCCACCCUUGUGGUAGCACGGUUAUCUCAAGUUAAACUCCAUGUUCCAAUUAACACAAUAGUCUUAUCAUGACCAGUAAAGAAUUCAAAAACAAUAAGGAACAUAAUCAUGAAUAAUAUGUAUCUUAACAUCGAAAACCAUAUAGAGCAAUAGCAGAUACUACCCAAAAAGUUCAGUGGUAAGCAAGGCGUAAAGUAUACCAAACUAGGGUGACCUAUUGGCUCCCAUCAAAAUUAGCCUAAGCAUAGCACAAUGAUUAAUAAAAACAUUAUUGGGUAAAGGAGAAGUGAUCAAGGGCACAACUUUCCUUCAACGAGCUCAUGCUCAGUAGUUUCCACCUACUGAGUACCGGGGUCCUCGGUCACUUGCUCGUCUACUCGUAGCAAUACAAACAAAUAUGGUAUAAGAGAAAUUAACAUCACACCAAACAAAGAACAUAAUGCACAUUAUUGAUUUACACAUUGUAACGAGAUCCUAGGUUCGAGAACCACUAAUUUCGAAGUUACAGUUAUAAAGUUAUGAUUUUCUAAAGGUUUAGGUGUUAAAUAUAAAACAAAAUGAGUGCUUGAUUUUAUCUCAUUGUUACAUAGUAAAAUAGGGUUACUAAGUGAUAGACAUAUUAAUAUGAGUCUAAUGGAACUAGAAUGGGUUAAUUUUGAGUUAAAUCAAAGAAGUUAUGGAGUUAUGAAGUUUUGGGAAUUAGUUUCCUUAUAAAAAUCAUUUUUUCUAAUUAAUUCAAUUAAGUUUGAGCUCUGUUUGGACUGUUGGUAUAAAAACUAGAGAACUGAGGAACUGUUUUAUCAAUUUCUAGGGCACAAAUGAAAUUAAUCUGCACAUGUCGUGGACGGUGGGUUCAUUUCUUAAAAAUAGAGGGACUCUUAUGUAAAAAUACACGGCUGAAGGGGGAUUAUCAUAUCUCGGCCGCCCGAUCAAUGUUGGACGACACAGAUUAGAUCCACUAUCAUCCGAACCGAUACAUUACGGACACCCUCAGAUCUAGAUCCAACGGCCAGGGUUCUAAACAGCACGGAUCGCUCGGCAUCCGCCCGAUCACCGAUUGACGGUCAGGGCGCGCUCCACCGAAACGGUAAGUUAGAUCUAAUCUGAGGCGUUGAUUGGUUGAUCGACGCUAUGCAGGCUUUCCACCCCUCACCAUGACAGCGCACGGCGGCGCCCGAGCGCAGACAACGGCGCCAUGGCCGACGACCACGAAAACCCCACCCCGAAGCCCAAACUUCUAUGCGUAGGGUACAUCACGAAGCGCAUGACUAGGCGUUCAAGUUUACGGGACCUACACCGCAGAUCAAGCCCUCAAUCGCACCGACGACGGCGCAGGGCAGAGGUGUGGAAAACGCCCAACUUCGAUGAGAAAUCUGACCUCCCCCGCGACCCAAACCCGGUUUCUAAUGUCUAAUACAUGAUGCUACCAUUAAAUCGAGUCAGUGGGGAAAGGAAUUACCUAAAACCGUGGAGUAGAAGGUUCUACCCACAGAGAGCUUCGUCCCGGCGGCGAGACUUCCGCUCCAAUGAGUAAUUUCCCCCACGCCGACGAGUAAUCCCACCCGAAGGCACUACGAUCACGCGCGGGGAGCGUUGGCGAAGCCCUAUGACUACCCUCUGAGGUUGUAUCGUGGUCGGAAGUCGCAAACGUCGACGGCGGCGAAGUUCCGC